GUGCUCACUUUGGGAGCACAUAUAUUAAAAGUAGAAAGAUACAGAGAAGAUUAGCAUGGCCCCUGCAUAAGAAUGACACACAAAUUCAUGAAGCAUUACUUAUUUUU
rnacentral:snRNA from 1 species